UCAGCUUCAUCAAGAGAAGUUCCAGAAAUCCAAGCGUCGGCUGCAACACUUUCGUUCCAUCAUCAUGCAACCUCGACAAGCACAGCAAGCACCGUCAAUUCAGAUUCUUCAGACCCCCAAGGUUCUGAAAUAUGUCGAAGUCCUCCAAGUAUAAGCCAUACUCGUGUAUAGCCUGCUGUAAGCGCAUCAAGACUAGCGUACGAAGACCGCUUUAUGGAAAUCAGGCUCUUCGAAAAUUUUUGUCAAAGAGAUUUGUGAAAGAUUUAGGUAAGGAUGACGUAGUCUGUAACAAGUGCAGGCAACUCUACUACGUCUCCCUCAGACAAGAAUCCAGAGUUCCAGAAGUCCAAAAUGUUGAAGACAAACAAAAUGCUGCCCCGCCUGAACCUGUAAUACUACCCAUUCUGUCCACCGGAUAUCGACAUGACGCUUGUGGAAUAUGUGAAAAGAAGCCCCGUAAACUAGUUGUCAUUCCAGAGCAGACUCGGCUUGAAGUGUUUGUACAACUUGGUGUGUUCAUGAAAGAGGGUUCCAGGUGUUGUCCUUCUCAUAUUUAUGGCGGACACUUGACAUCAGAGGCGUUGAGCUACGGGUUUUCUGAGAGAGUUAGAAAAUGUACGUCACUCAGCAAUGACAAUUUAAGGAAUCUUCUUGACAGUUUAAGAAACUAUGCGAAGAGAAAAGCAUCCACUCGUCUGGAUUUUGAUAAUGAUACUUCUCUUUCUGACGAGGAUUAUCGCAACCUGACAGGACUCACCCGGACGCAGUUCGAGGAUCUAAUGGUUAAUGUGGAGGAAAUCAAGACAUCCAAAUCCAGAAGCAUCCGCACUUGUGUUGCAAUUUUGCUGAUGAAACUGCGAUGUGCUCUAGAUAAUAAAAUGCUGGCUACCCUUUUUAAUAUGAAAAAGUGGCAGGUAUGCAGAGCCGUUUCCUCAGCAAGACGCUCCCUUAUGAAGGACUUUGUGCCACAAAACCUGGGAUUUGGACAUAUUUCUCGCGACGAAGUCAUAACUAAGCAUACGAGGCCCCUAGCACAGGAGUUGUUUUCCCCUGGUUUGACAGAGACGACCCCAGCUUUGCUAGUGUUAGACGGAACGUAUAUAUACAUCCAGAAGUCUAACAAUUUCAGUUUUUCCAGACGCUCGUAUAGUCUACAUAAACAUAGACCUCUCGUUAAGCCAAUGAUGGUCGUUAUGACAUCUGGAUAUACUGUGUCCGUCCUCGGUCCAUAUCUAUCCGAUUAAAAAAACAACGACGCCGGUAUUCUUAGCCACAUGAUUGAAAGAAAUGCCGAAGAAAUGAAGAGUUGGUUACAGGAAGGAGACACAUUUAUAGUCGAUCGUGGCUUCAGAGACAGUGCCGACGUUCUGGCUGACAUCGGUAUUCGGAUGGAGAUGCCAAGUUUUCUGAGAGGAGCAAAGCAACACCCUACCGAGGAGUCAAACAGCUCCAGAUUGAUUACUAAGGUGCGCUGGGUUGUGGAGUCCGCCAACGGACGAAUAAAGCGUUGGAAAUUCCUGGACCGGACAGUAUCCAAUAAUCAGAUUCCAUUCAUAGCCGAUUAUGUACGCAUAGUUGCUGCAAUCUCCAACAGAUAUUGCCCUCCGUUAAGUUCUGGAGCAGACGACGAUCAAGCCAUCGCAUUAAAAAUGCUUCAUUUAUCCCAGAAAGGUAAUGAGCUCAGAGAGCUCGUGGAAAGCGAGGGUUGGGACAGGAGACCUUCCCAGUGGAAAGCUCUUGAUGCAGAUAGUGUUGCCAUAGAUUUUCCUAUUUUGUCUGAAGAUGAGAUCCACAAUAUCACAUUAGGAACCUAUCAGGUCAAGAUGGCCAGAGCAUACACACAUGAACAUUUCCAAGAUGACGGUGCGUAUGACAUUCUUAUUGCAGAAGAUAAAGCAAACAUAAUUGGAGCAAAAAUUCAAAGUCGUCACGUGUCGGCCAAAACAUACCUUUGUUGAAUUCGCCACAGUGAAGGGACUAUUUUAUCGUGGUACUGUAAAUGUAAAUCUGGUUCCCGUGUUGUCGGGUGUUGUGCACACAUUACCAGCGUGCUUUGGUAUCUUUCCUUUGCACGGCACCAGUCUAAACCUUUGAAUGGCGUUCGAAACUGGGCGGAUCACCUUGAAGACGCUGCCCGUGUUGUUGAUGAAUCCGACAGUGGUGCAGAGAGUCCUACGGAGGAAUAAAUGUAGACUGCUUUUGAAGUUUUGUUAUUUAUAUUAUCUGUGAUAACAUUUUCUUGUUGAUAAACGUGAAUUGAUUUCAAG